ACGGCCAUACCAUGCUGAAUAUACCGGUUCUCGUUAGAUCACCGAAGUCAAGCAUCAUUGGGUGGGUGACCACCUGGGAACACCGCGUACAG